rnacentral:rRNA from 1 species
CUCAAACUAGGACCGAGUCCUGCUUGCGACCGCCGCACGGAUUAUGUACGUUCAGCUCGCCUGUCUUCCCUCGAACGAGGGCCUACAAUCGCCGCCUGCCCACUCAUUGUGCACCCAUUGGACGGACAUUCUGACCCUAUUGAGGCCCUUUGGCCUCGAUUAUGGCCUAUCAAGGAACUUGGCGUACCAAGUUCCUACUUUCUGCCAAAGCCGACAGUGAAUGUCUACCUGGGCGCCGCGUAAUCGAUCAACCACCCCAUUACCGAGUGGUUCCGCUGCUACGCAUCGGCUGGACUCUCCCACUAGCCGGUGUGACCCUGACUCUGUGCCGGGUCUGAGGAUGCCCUCCGUCGUCAUCCCUUAGAAGGCGUUACCUGCUUUCAGACUGCCUCGUUGCGGCGCACUCACUACUUCCAAAAGCCUAGCAUUUCGAGACAACAAUCCCUUCUUGUUCACGCUCUCAUUGACGAGCGUGGAACUGCCAUGGAUUGGUCUUUCGGUGCCGAUUGAUGCACGGUCGUCGGCGCCAUUAUGCAUCCACCGUUCGCAACAGGCCUUAAUAACCCGCAUUUCCCGAGCGUCCGCCAAAGAAUUCAGACUACACUUUCGGGGGCCGAGUUGGCCCCUCCCAGUAACCUUUGACNNUNUGAACUCACGUCUUCUNCUCUCACCUUAAGRUGNACAUCGCCACUUUACGCAUCUCUACACCUCCUUGUGGUCACCGCUUCCGCUGAGAGACCAGACAUUGACUGCGACUCCUCGCUUUCGCACCCCUCGCUUGUCCUAAUCUAUGGGACCAUCAGGUGCGGCAUUUGCUACUCACGAUUCACAAUCCCCCNUSNAAAGGCGGGGAAUCACGACGUCGAUUGCGUAAUUCGUGAGGCGGACCCCUCAUGCCAGCGUUCUGACUUUGAGUUUCCUUAACUGCCCCCGGGCGUGUUCGCCACCUCGUACACCAAAUUAAGCUUCGUUGCGCUUCUUGGAAUGGUCCAGAACUGUAGGAGACUGUUGGGAUCUCUAUCCCGAAAGGGAAGCCCCUGUCUCACUGUCCACCACGUACCAACAGCAGUCGAGCACAGCACUCUACAACCCAAUUCAGGGCGUUGCUCGCGUUGGGAACUAGAAUCAACGGUCGUAAGUCAACCCGUGAGAUUCCACUGACGGCCACUGUUUGGCCUCCUUCCACCCCUACUGCAGUUUAGUAGUACGGGGAAUACUGGACCCGAUGUGUGCACGAUGUUACCUGUCUUGUUUCCCGACGUUCUGGCGUUCCAAAUCGGUUAGGGUAUUUAGACAAGAGUCAAGCCUAGCGUCAGACGUUGAGCUGACGCACUUCGACCUUAGCGAUCAUUAGCGCCUAGUCGUACGGCGCCACUUAUGCAAGGGCCCGGAACAUGUGUGGCGGGCAGUGUGGUGCUCUCAAAUGUUGUGGGCUUCAGCCACUCCAUUGGAAAUACCUCGGUCGGCGGCUUCCACCCCGUCUACUAACCCCACUUCAGCAUUGUUCCAUCGGCAUAGCCUUCCACGCCGACCUAGUGGAGGAA